rnacentral:rRNA from 1 species
CCCUUAGAUGUCCUGGGCCGCACGCGCGCUACACUGAUGCAUUCAACGAGUUUUACCUUGGCCGAGAGGCCUGGGCAAUCUUUUAAACCUGCAUCGUGAUAGGGAUAGAUUAUUGCAAUUAUUAAUCUUGAACGAGGAAUUCCUAGUAAACGCAAAUCAUCAAUUUGCAUUGAUUACGUCCCUGCCCUUUGUACACACCGCCCGUCGCACCUACCGAUUGAAUGGUCCGGUGAAGCCUCGGGAUUGUGGCCAGUUCACUUUAUUGGGAGUUGGCUGUGAGAACUUGUCUAAACCUCAUCAUUUAGAGGAAGGUGAAGUCGUAACA